rnacentral:rRNA from 1 species
GAUGAGCGCUGGCGGCGUGCCUAACACAUGCAAGUCGAACGAAGCUUGACGGAUGAUUUCUUCGGAAUGAAACCAGAUAUGACUUAGUGGCGGACGGGUGAGUAACACGUGAGCAACCUGCCUUUCAGAGGGGGAUAACGGCUGGAAACGGUCGCUAAUACCGCAUGAUGUGUUCGGAUGGCAUCAUCUGAACAUCAAAGAUUUAUCGCUGAAAGAUGGGCUCGCGUCUGAUUAGAUAGUUGGUGGGGUAACGGCCUACCAAGUCUACGAUCAGUAGCCGGACUGAGAGGUUGAACGGCCACAUUGGGACUGAGAUACGGCCCAGACUCCUACGGGAGGCAGCAGUGGGGAAUAUUGCACAAUGGGGGAAACCCUGAUGCAGCAACGCCGCGUGAAGGAUGACGGUUUUCGGAUUGUAAACUUCUUUUCUUAGUGACGAAGACAGUGACGGUAGCUAAGGAAUAAGCAUCGGCUAACUACGUG